rnacentral:rRNA from 1 species
GGCGGCGUGCCUAACACAUGCAAGUCGAACGAGAAAGUUGGCUUCGGCCGAUGAGUAAAGUGGCGCACGGGUGAGUAACGCGUGGAUAAUCUGCCCUUUAGUUUGGAAUAACGUACCGAAAGGUGCGCUAAUACCGGAUAAUACUGAAUGACUACUGUCGUUUAGUCAAAGAAGGCUUCUGUUUACAUGCUUUUGCUGAAGGAUGAGUCCGCGUACCAUUAGCUAGUUGGUAGGGUAAUGGCCUACCAAGGCGACGAUGGUUAGCUGGUCUGAGAGGAUGAUCAGCCACACUGGAACUGAGACACGGUCCAGACUCCUACGGGAGGCAGCAGUGAGGAAUAUUGCGCAAUGGGGGCAACCCUGACGCAGCAACGCCGCGUGAGUGAGGAAGGUUUUCGGACCGUAAAGCUCUGUCGAGCGGGAAGAAAUGCAUGGUGGCUAAUAUCCAUCAUGCUUGACGGUACCGCUAAAGGAAGCACCGGCUAACUCCGUG